UUAGUGGUAGUUCAGUGGUAGGAUUCCCUCCUUCCAUGUGGGAGACCUGGGUUCAGUUCCUGGCCACUGCA
rnacentral:tRNA from 1 species